UCGUCUGAGUCGAUAUCCACGUAAUAAUAAGGAAUUCCCCUCGACCACGCCCACAAAUUUGGGGAAAACAAACAUUCUUUCCAAUGAACCUCCCAUUGUAAAAGGGACAACUUUGUCGUCCAUUUUUUAUUAUACAGAUAUAACAAAACAUGUCGACAAGCUGCUGUGUUGUUCAAUGUACAUGUAACCAGGUGAAAAAUCCAUACCUACGGUUGGCAAUGCUCCCACGAAGGGAAAUAUUGGCUGCGAGAAGAGCUCUGUGGCUUCAGGCUAUUCAACGUGGGAAAUGUGGGGACCCGGUGUACAAGUAGACUACAUGUGUGUGGAUCACCUUUAAUCACAGGCGGGCAGUGCCGCGACGUUCUAUCAAAUACCGACUGGGACUAUCUGAGUGAGAGUGACUUACAAAAUCAAUGAGGGCCCCCUAGAGAUCAGGGCCCCUGGGCACGUGCCCUGCGUGCCCAGUCGGUAAUUCGACCAUGAUUGCUACAACGUUUGAUAACUGGCUAACUGGCCAGUGACUGACAUACUGUAUCAAGAGAGAAACUGCUGAUGCACAACCAAAAUUUGAAAUUGCACCUUGUAUAUUCUAUUAUUUUAAGUUGAGACCUUGACUGAGUUCCUAAAAAACUAGUGGCUGCGGGGCUCUAAGCUGUCACUUAUGUCGCUUAGUGGCUAGGGCCGGCCGUGGGGAGAGAGCAAGAGAAAGAGAUGGGGGAGAGAGCGAGAGUUUUUUUGGUUUCUUUUCACUUUUGUUUAUUGUUUAUUUCACUUGCUUUGGCAAUGUAAACAUAUGUUUCCCAUGCCAAUAAAGCCCCUUUUGAUUUGAAUUUAAUUGAGACAGAGAGAGAAAGAAAGAGAUGGGUGAGAGAUGGGAUUAAUAUCGGUGAGUAGCACUUAAGUGGUUGGACUCACAUUAUUAAUCAACCUGUCAUACAUAUGUACAGUCCAACUGGAAGACCAGGAGUUCACAGGAUUGGAUAACAGUAUUCUCGAAGUCUUGUCUGUUUUGGUCCAUCACCUAAAGUAGAAACUACCUAGCCCAGGAGCCGAUACACAGCAUGUUGACAAUAUCCUGGUAAGUCUAUGAUUAUGAUUACGGCUACCUAUAUGAUUGUCUUCCUUUGCAGCUGAGCCUUGUUUUCAAACCAUUCACCAACACAUGAAUCUUCCAUGUUGAAGCUGAUGGAUUUGUCCUCUGUGAGCUGUAGGUUGGCUAUCCCUCCUUCCUUGCCAUCUGCAUCACGCAUACUGCAGCAGGAGCUUCAAUCUUCAAUGUAACAUUUGCAUGAAUAUAGCUUUGGGAGAUACUGUAAUGAAAGUCCCUUUACUCCCUCCUCCUUCAUGUCUUUCACCCGUGAUGAAACCAAUCCUAGCUUCUGAUCCAGUUAUCAGAACCAGAGAGAGAGAGAGAGAGAGAGUAUGCAUUCCAAAUAACACCCUAUUCCAUAUCCACCAACAUUUUCAAAAGUUUUUUUAAAACACGGAAGCCAAACGCGGAAACUAUUGAUACAACUUCCUCUGCGCUCGUACACGAUCAUAAUUCAUAUGCGUGCCACUAGAAAUCCCUGCAUUAGCAUGUUUCUGUUAGCUGAUACAGCAUGAUAAUAAGACACCACCAUGUUACUAAAGCUGGUUCUAUCUGUGAUAUUACUGUCCUGCUAAUGUGCCUGGACCUUGUAGAAGAAAAAAACCCUGAACUGAUCCAAAUGGCUGCCCAAUCAGGCAGGCUAGAUAACGUUAUUUAGAAAUGAUUGGAGGACCAAGACGCAACAGGGAAAUGUAUACUCAUCUUCUCUUUUAAUAUUGAAGAAGGAGAAACAAAUGAAACACGUAUACAAUUAACGGAAACGACACUAACAGUUCUGUCAGGUGGUGAUAAGCACAAAACAGAAUACAACUACCCACAAUCCACAAUACAAACAAACCCCUAAUUAUAGGACCUUCAAUCAGAAGCAAUGAGGAGCCGCUGCUUCCAAUUGAAGGUCAAGAACAAAACUGCACAUAGAAACAGAGUGACUAGAAUAAACAUAGAAAAUGCCCUAACAUAGAACAUAUACCAAACCUCUAGACCACUCUAAUCAAACACGCCUUGUCUAUACACAUAGACUAACAAUCCCCUGAAACAUAUAAACAAAAUACCCCCUGCCACGUCCUGACCAUACUAAACACUAACAAAUAACACCUUUACAGGUCAGAACGUGACUUCACUGUAGUUUUCAGCCUAGAGUUUUGUACUCACUUGAAAAACAAUAACAUUCUUUAUUACGUUGUGUUGUUGUAGCCUACGUAGGAUAAAUAUACUGUCCCUGAAAACGGAAGAAAAACAAAUAGGGUAGCUUUUCCAACUUCAUACCCAGAGAUUGGGAGGGAGCGCACAUAGUAUUGGCUACCUUUGAUCAACUUUUUUUUCUUUCACCGUGUACAUUGACGGGAUAUAUUCACAGUAGUAUGAAGCCUAACAUUGAGCUUAUGAAAUAUGGGUUAAUAUGCGUACGCUUCUAACAUAGACAUACUUGAGAUGUAGCCUAUAGCCUGUCUUCAUUUUUCUGUAGUGUAAUUACACACCUGGCCUCUCCGCUGCCACAGCUAUUUCCUUUUAAAUCUUGUGGAGUCCCAGGAAAAGCCAGACUACAAAAGCUUGUUGGACAUUUGUUACGACAUAUUUACUUUAGCCUACUAAUAGCCUAUAGGAUGAUAGAUGCGCGCCUGCUCUUGCUUGCUGAAUGUAAAAUAUGCUACAGCAUUAACGAGUGGAGAGGAAAGGAGAAGCCCAUAUUUUCUUAUAGUAGGCCUAUCUUAACACUGGGCUAUAUCCUUACAAAAUAGGCCUACACCAUAUUUUGGCCUGAUAAUGUACCUUUCUGGACCUUCUAAACUGUCCAGAAUAGACCCAAACUGAUCCAAAUGGUUGUUGCUUAACCAAGCCUAGACUACAGUAGGCCUAUGCAUGAAACAAACCAGGACGUGUGAGCUGUUAUUCAAAUUAUCCUAGGCCUAUACAUCACUGCAGUUUACAGCCUAUGGACAAUACUUGUGUAUUCACUUGAUCACAAUAAUAAAUGCCUCAUUGCACUGUGUUGUUGUAGCCCAGGUAGAUUAAUGUUCUUGUCUACAAACGUAGGCCUAGGACUAAUCAAUAGUGGAGCUUUGCGUGCCCGGGGACCACAGAGCGCAGCCUGGAGGAAUGCACUACAGAACUGCCAUUUCAUAAUUUGUUAAUACAUUUUUCUUGCACUUUGACAGGUAAAUAUUUCGCCUAUAGUCCUAAUAUUUAGCUAUUGAAUGGCCUAAUAUCUAGCUAACGUUGAACUUCUUACUUCGUCUACACAUCACUAGCCUCUCUCUUCCAGCUGUUUCCCUGUGCAUUCAGGCUAUCACUCUAAAACGAAAAGGUUCCUGGAGUAUCCUUUAGGGGUUCUUCAAAUUGAAACUGUGGGGGAACCCCUAUAAGUUCUUUGAAGAACCCUUUAAAAUGGUUCUUCAAAGAACUCAUGUUAAUGGAUCCUCGAAGAACCCUUUGAAUAACUUUUUGGGGUUCAUUUUUUAAUUACUCCCCCUGCCCCUUUUAUUAUUAAUAGUAAUACGCAUAACAAUAACAACAAUAACACAAUAUUUCAGUCGUCAGUGUUUAUUAUGAUUUUAGUGGCAAA